rnacentral:sRNA from 1 species
CCAUAGCCCCGAUAGUAAUGGAAAUCCUUUUUUGCUGGGCUUCGAGAACCUCAGCCUGACAAAAGGUGAUGCAAAAAAGAUUGCAAUGGAUAGCGGGAUUAAGC